CCGGACGCCAUCCGGGUCCGGAUGGACAUAGAGGGCGUCGGCUCUCGCAUACCGACGCUUCUCAUGCCCAAAUUGCUUCGUUGGAGGAUUUGGAAAUGAGAA
rfam:Sphingobium sp. TKS chromosome 1, complete sequence.